rnacentral:rRNA from 1 species
AUACGGAGGAUGCGAGCGUUAUCCGGAUUUAUUGGGUUUAAAGGGAGCGUAGGCGGGAGCUUAAGUCAGCGGUUAAAUGGUGCGGCUCAACCGUGCCCUGCCGUUGAAACUGGGUUUCUUGAGAGUGCAAGAGGCGGAUGGAAUUCAUGGUGUAGCGGUGGAAUGCGUAGAGAUCAUGAAGAACUCCGAUUGCGAAGGCAGGCCGCUGGUGCACGUCUGACGCUGAUGCUCGAAGGUGCGGGAAUCAAACAGGAUUAGAUACCCUGGUAGUCCGCACGGUAAACGAUGAUUACCCGCUGUCGGCGGCAGACAGUCGGCGGCCAAGCGAAAGCGAUAAGUAAUCCACCUGGGGAGUACGCCGGCAACGGUGAAACUCAAAUGAAUUGACGGGG